CACUAGUGAAGGCCGUGCCGGCCCCGAGAAGCACCAGCAGGGCCAGAACGAUGUAGGCCAUGUGAGAUUUGACGUUAAUAUCGGCGUGACGGGCGUGAUACAGUUUCAGGGUGCACAGCACUGCUAAUACGUACAUAAAUGAGAUUUUCUGUACCGAAUUGGUAAUUCAUGCGAGUCGGACACAGGUGAUAGCAGGCGCUGAGAAUCCCCUCAACAAUCAGCCCGAAUCCCAUGGAAUAAGACAAGCCGUAAUGAGGCGGAAUACCUCUCUGCUGAUGGAUCCCGCCGUCGUUUCAUGCAGGAUGAAGAAGACAUAGUACCGUGACAGCUCAAGUCCAGAUGUCCGUUUUCCGUCUUGGUGGUUUCGCUAUUGUGAGGUGUUUAUUCAAAAAAGAAAAAAGAAAACCGUUUUAAAAAUGUUGCUUCGUGCCUCCAUGAAGUACUGCAAAAUUGCACCUGAUUUGAAACUCGGGUACUUCAGAGAUCGGUUCCAGCUCGGAUUUGUCUAAAACAGAUAAAAUUUUUUUGCAACUUACGGAUUUUCACCGUCGCCUCCCACUCUCGCCGUGCCUGCUUGGUUUUAUUCCUAAACAUUACAUCAUCAAAUGGUGUUAUGACCAUCUCUCCCAAAAUGCGAAACAUAGAAAAUUAAAUAGGGCACCUUCUAAAUUCAACUAGGACGCAUGUGGCGAUAAUCAAGACGAUGAAUCCCGCGUAGACGCCCAACGUCGCAAUAAAGAUCACAUUACGGAAUUGUUGGACAGACACCUGUUUAUAGGGAGCAUACCGUUUCCUGGAUAGUGAAAGUGACUUCUUUCGUGCGGUUAGUUCUCAAUGGCGCUAAAGUCCGGCUAUUAACGCAUUUUUCGUCAUCCGUGUUGACGAUGUAGACCAGGCGGAAUUGUUGUUAGACAGGUAAAUUAAUAUCACCUGAACGAUUAUGGUGGACUGGCCGGUCAUUGUUUGUCGGAAACCUUCGUAUUCAACAUUGUAAAUUGUGUCGAAAAUCGGGCACUGAAUUCAAUAAGAUUUUAGAUACCUGAUCACCGAAUCCGGAAAAACUAAAAACGAACUGAUACGAGGACUUACUU